ACGCUCGACACCUCGGGCAGCAGUGGGGAAUAUUGCACAAUGGGGGAAACCCUGAUGCAGCGACGCCGCGUGGAGGAAGAAGGUCUUCGGAUUGUAAACUCCUGUUGUUGGGGAAAAAGAGGAUGGUACCCAACAAGGAAGUGACGGCUAACUACGUGCCAGCAGCCGCGGUAAUCUGAGCGGGCUGGCAAGGC
rnacentral:rRNA from 1 species